ACUGACACGCUGUCCUUUCCCUAUUAACACUAAAGGACACUAUAAAGAGACCCUUUCGAUUUAAGGCUGUUUUGCUUGUCCAGCCUAUUCUUUUUACUGGCUUGGGUCUGUCGCGGUGCCUGAAGCUGUCCCCGAGCCACGCUUCCUGCUUUCCCGGGCUUGCGCUUGCGUGUGCUUGCUGUGGGCAGCUUGUGACAACUGGGCGCUGUGACUUUGCUGCGUGUCAGACGUUUUUCCCGAUUUCCCCGAGGUGUCGUUGUCACACCUGUCCCGGUUGGAAUGGUGGAGCCAGCUGUGGUUGAGGGCCACCUUAUUUCGGCUCACUUUUUUUUUUUUUUUUUUUCUCUUGGAGUCCCGAACCUCCGCUCUUUUCUCUUCCCGGUCUUUCUUCCACAUGCCUCCCGAGUGCAUUUCUUUUUGUUUUUUUUCUUUUUUUUUUUUUUUUUUUGGGGAGGUGGAGAGUCCCGAGUACUUCACUCCUGUCUGUGGUGUCCAAGUGUUCAGCCACGUGCCUCCCGAGUGCACUUUUUUUUGUGGCAGUCGCUCGUUGUGUUCUCUUGUUCUGUGUCUGCCCGUAUCAGUAACUGUGCUUGCCCCGCGUGUAAGACAUUCCUAUCUCGCUUGUUUCUCCCGAUUGCGCGUCGUUGCUCACUCUUAGAUCGA
rnacentral:rRNA from 1 species